rnacentral:rRNA from 1 species
GAUGAACGCUAGCGGCAGGCCUAAUACAUGCAAGUCGAGGGGCAGCGCGGUAGCAAUACUGGCGGCGACCGGCGCACGGGUGCGUAACACGUAUGCAACCUACCUUCAACUGGAGGAUAGCCCGGGGAAACUCGGAUUAAUACUCCAUAACACAGGGAUCCCGCAUGGGAAUAUUGUUAAAGCUACGGCGGUUGAAGAUGGGCAUGCGUUCGAUUAGCUAGUUGGUGUAGGUAACGGCUCACCAAGGCUACGAUCGAUAGGGGGUCUGAGAGGAUGAUCCCCCACACUGGUACUGAGAUACGGACCAGACUCCUACGGGAGCAGCAGUAGGGAAUAUUGGUCAAUGGGCGCAAGCCUGAACCAGCCAUGCCGCGUGCAGGAAGAAGGGCCCUCUGGGUUGUAAACUGCUUUUGAUAGGGAACAAAUGCCACUUGCGAGUGGAGCUGAGUGUACCUAUAGAAUAAGCACGGCUAACUCCGUGCCAGCAGCCGACGG